rnacentral:rRNA from 1 species
GGGCCCGCACAAGCAGCGGAGCGUGUGGUUUAAUUCGUAUGUUACACGAAGAACCUUACCAGGGUUUGACAUGCAAGUGGUAGGAAGCCGAAAGGUGACCGACCCUUCGGGGAGCUUGCACAGGUGCUGCAUGGCUGUCGUCAGCUCGUGUCGUGAGAUGUUCGGUUAAGUCCGCUAACGAGCGCAACCCUCGCUGUGUGUUAUAUGUGUCACACGGGACUGCCGGUCUUAAGCCGGAGGAAGGUGGGGAUGAUGUCAAGUCAGCAUGGCCUUUAUAUCCUGGGCUACACACACGCUACAAUGGCCAACACAAUAGGUUGCUAAGCCGCGAGGUGGCGCCAAUCCAUAAAGUUGGUCUCAGUUCAGAUUGUAGGCUGCAACCCGCCUGCAUGAAGAUGGAGUUGCUAGUAACCGCAGGUCAGCUAUACUGCGGUGAAUACGUUCCCGGGGCUU